AAAAAAAAAAGGAAAAACAAACGUUAGUAGAAACAAUUUUGUCAAACCUUACUCCUGACAGCUUGGUAAAGUCAAGGUAGAAUUUCUCACUUUGUAUUAUGUCCUACGACUUUAAAGUGCAUUUGUCUAGCUGCCAAAAAUUCUAAAAAUGAGAUUAUGAUGGGCUUUCUCAGCAUCUUUUUUCUUCUUAGAAUUGAAUUGCUCUUAAAAUCUGUACUCCUCUGUCAGAAAGGUGGCAGAUUGCAAAUACGUAGUACAGGCUUUGCCCAUGUUUUCAAAGUACGAUUCUGGAUUGCAGUUUCAAAACAUGAUAGAUUAUUAUUAUAGAAUCAAAGUGUCCUGAAGGAAGAAUAGCUAUAGUUGCUCGGCAAAGAGUAUAAGAAAUAAAUUUUAGAGUAUUUAUCAAUACUUGAGUGCUAUAUUAUGUUCCAGGCUAGAAAUGUGAUCAUUGCAUGGCCUAAGUGUAGCCAUUCAUAUAUAUAUGAAAAAAAUACAUAUAUAUGUAUAGCCAUUAUCAAGUGUUUUCUACCCCUGGAUAAAGUUAAUUUUUUCAAGUAUGAUUGCCAAGCAAUCCAGUGAAUUAAUUUUUCUCAUUUUAAAAACCAGUGUUGAGGAGUCUGGUCCUUCAUGUGUUAAUACCGUAGAACUCCAGUCAAACUGGAGUGCACUGCCUUCUUACAGGAAGACAACCCAGAACACACAGCCAUAAUCUGCUGUGGUGUCAGUCAUAUCACAGUGUAGGUAUACAUUUGUCCUGAAUGUGAUUAAUUUCCUUUCCAUCUCACUUCCUUGUGACAAAUAGCAUUUACUAUUGAAAUAGUAGUCUGUAAGUUGGGAAAAGAGUGAAAGUAGCUCUCAUGCUUGGGAGUGGACUUGAAAGGUUGACUUCCACCAGCUGAGGACAAACAAGUGCAAAGAAAAACUAUGAUAAAGUAUGGAGGUCUUGAGAGCUGUUCAUAAUGGAAUCUUUAAUCUGGGUUAUCAGAGUAAUGAAAUCACCAAUAAAACAUUCCAUGUAUCUUGGAUCUUCUGUGGUUAGCAGAGGAGUAUGGUCUCACUAUGUUAGCAGCUUGAAGGCACAGCCUAAAAGGAAUGAGCCUUCACAAGGUGCUUCACAUUAGUUGGGUAGUAUUGGUCAAGGGUACUUUGAAGAAUGAAUACAAAAAUCAGUUGCCUGUGUUUGUAACCUUGUCCCACAUAGACUCUAGCCUUCAGUAGACUUCAGUCUUUUAGUCUGGUAGGAGACUAAGGCCCUGAAUUUGUGUUUUCUGCUUUUUGGUGGAAGGUUUUCUGCAAGUGGUUGGGUGGUUUUUGGGUUAUUGGCCACUGUUUGUUCAGUGCCAUUUGAAGACCUGUUGUUUCUUAAUCCCUUUUUUUGGUGUGACUGGCCAGGAAAAAGCCCUUGAGUCCUUUUUUUCUCCCUGGUGACUUGUCCCUUCUGUAGAAUAAUCUUUUAAAAUUUAUGUUGGCAUCUCUAUGAUAAACCUUCCAGACUUGCAAGCAGUGAUUUUAUCUUUCCUUCCCGAGAAGCUGAUCUCACUUUUGAUGUUUGGGUCACAAACAGAUAGGAGGGCUGUGGAUACCUGUGCUCUCUUGAGUCUCAAUGCUUGUAGCUUUCACAUUGGCUUGGGAACAAAGAACAGACUUCUGUGUUCUGCUGGUCCUCAGUCUGAGAGGUCUUAGGUAACAUUCUUAGUAUAGUGGAAUUUCUGAGGUCAAAUUUAACAUAUUAAUUUUUUCUCCUUUUAGUUCAUUGAAUCCGAGGUUCUAAAUCUGUAGCUUCAUUUUGGGCACAAGUCUGCGUUGUCAUUUUUUUAAGCUUUAAGAGAUUGACAUAUGCUUUUGUGAUAUUUAGGAAUAGACUGGAUGGCAGCAAAUGAAAGUAAAGGUUUUCAACUGUGAAUGAAAUUUUGAAAGAUAAUUUUUCAGCAGUUGGUUGAUUAGAUGGGUUAGUGCUUUUGGAACAUAUGAGUAACAGUAGACUUGUAUUCUUCAUGCACUAUACAUAUGAUAUGCACUGACAGAAAGCACAGAAGACACACCUGCUAGAGUUUCUUUGUGCAUUUCACUACUGUUCUAGGGCACUGCUGUCUCUUUGGUUCAUUUUAGGUUUGUGUUAGGAUGUUGCACAAGUAAUCAUUUAAUGUUAAAUGCACGUGUUCAAAGAAAUGAGUUAAAGUUUUUCGCUGAUAUUUUACUUUAGAGUUAGGACAGGAGACAGCUAACCUGACUUCAAUUUUUAUAAAUAAUAGAAACUUUUUCUUCAGUAACAAAAAUAGGAAAGGACAAUAAAACCGUAACUAUUUGCUUUAUGUCUAUUUUUAAAAAAAUAAUUGUUUUGAAGUUUGCUUUUACUAGCUUAAUACCUUAUAGUACUUUUAAAAAAUCAUCCUUGGUAAGUAUUGGACUCAUCCUAGAUCCAUGUACAAUUCAGACUUUUAUCUGUUAGCUUUAAUAAAAAUUUAAAACGAUCUCAUUUCAGAAUAAAACAAUCAACUGGAAUUAUAGUUCAUAUAUUAGCAAUUUAAGUGAAAUUCUCUCAAUAAGAUUGUCUUUUGUCUAACCAAAAUAGGGUAUACAGAUUAGUGUGGAUGGAAAAGGGUGUAAGACUUGACUUUUUAAUACUGUGCCUAUUUCCAAAAUAAGAUUUGAUAUGGCUUUUUACAUUAUGCUGUAAAGACUAGGUUAUGUUAAAGGAAGAUAUAUAGUCUACAUAGUCUUAAAACAAUUUGGGAGUAAGUUUUGGUCUGAAAAAGGUGAAGAUAUUUAUGUUAAGUCAUAUUAAGCAAAUUAUUUUGAGACCUACUUUUGCUGGUAGACAAAAAUUGAGGAAAUGUUUCACUAAAUAUAUGAUGGUCAAUGAAAAAAAACCAGACUUUAGAGUAAAUGUGAUAACCAAGUAGAUUUGUGAACUUUCUUUAGUAAUUACUUUUGUCAUACAUGAAAUGAUUUAACUUUUAAUUUUUGCCUAGAUUAUAGCAGUGUUUCAUUAUUUUACCCUAUAGGGCAUUUCAAUGCUUGGAGAAAGACCGUAUAAGUAAACCUACUUCAAAUGAUUCUGUUCAUGGUAGUAUAGAGUCCUUGGUGCUUUUUGGGUAACUUUCAAACAUUUACUGACAGCAGAAAAGGAACCCCAAAACACCUAUUGUGUUCACCUUGUUAUAAGAACUGAAACAUUUUGAACAGGUUUUAUUGUGUUUCUGGAUUUAUGGUGGUGUAGUUGGACAGCAACUUUGUUUUUUUUCCUCAGUAUUAAUGAAAGGAUAAAGACUGACUGACUUUACCUCUCUUGUUGGGUAUGACUAUCAAAGGAUUUCCAGUGAUUCACGUAUGUGAAUUGGAGUUUAAAUGUUUGCAGGAUUACUGUACUUCCAAAGACCCACUAGAAUGUCAGCUGUACUCUAUACUCUCCACUGAGAAAAUGAACAAAAUCCUAUGUCUUAACAGUUAGGCUCUUUUUGAAAGCUUUUUGAUGUAAAUAAUACUAGGUUAAAAACUAAUCUUACAAAAUACAGUUUGAAUGAUGGAAGAUUGUUCACAUCUUGGCUUUCUGUAAAAAAACAUUGUGUUAGACUGUAAUGUAAUAUCAAUAAAAUUGGCUGCUUGGGCAGUUUUAGUUACACUACCUUAGUCUGGUUUCUGCUACUGUUACUUGUUAUCAUAGGUUCUGAGUUGCUCAUUGUGGUUGCUGUCUCUUUGGACCAAUAAAAAAUGUCAAGUAUGAGAUGAACAUAAUAAAAGUAUGUGUAACAGGAAGAAAUAUUAAAAAGUACAGAGUCUCUGAAAAAAUGAAAAUACUUCAAACAAGUUUGUUGCUUUAAAGCAAGAUUAUUGUGUAUGGCUAGAGAUGUGAAUUAAUUAGGUAUUUAAAAUCCAGCAAUUCUUAAGUUUGUGAUAGAAUCAGGUUUUGCAAUAGGAAUACCUAACAUUGGCUCGAGAAAGAAAUACAUUCUUUUCCAUCAGAGACCUCAGCUCUAUGACAGUAAUUUUUAUUUAAAAUUUUCAAAAGGGGAGUGACCAGGGUGUUAUACUUACUGUCAGAGGUACUUUGCUUCCAUAGUGACAGCUUGACAACAUUGUAUCUUUCUGUAACAGACAUGUUGCAAAGCUGCUUGCCAUCUUGUUGUCCUGUAUUACUUCCUUGCACUUCCAGUCCUUGAUUACAUUCCUUGUUUUAAUGAUCUUUAAAGAGGGGGAAAGACUCUUCAAUAGGUAACUUCCUAGUUACACCAAAUAUGAAAAAGUAGCCAAAUAAAAAUUGGCUAUAAAUGAGAUUUCUUGUCCACUUUGAUCUAAUAAAGUCUUUCUUCUAGUGCCUCUGCUUUGACUAGGGCUCUUGAUUUCAUGGAAGCAUCAUGGAUUUGAUAUGCCUGUAUGGCAAACAGUUCUACAGAAGGAUAGCCUUACCCUUUAAUUAACACAGUUAAGGUACACCAUGGAAUUAGAAAUAUUUAUUCAGAAUAUAAGAAUGUUGGUAAAAUAUUAUAAAUGUCUCUGUAUAAAUAAAUGGAGUUUUAAAAAAACAAUUCUAUAUCAAAUAACGCAAAGUAGCUAUUUUACAGCAGCUAAAGCUAAAGGCAUCUGGAAACAUUUAAAGAGUACAAGUGAAGAAUCUAAAAAAUUACAAGGUAUAGUACAGUGUUUAGCAAUUUUAAAAUGAGACUUUUUAGUACAAACAGUAGAACAAUACUGACAAAUGCAAACUUAGUCACAUGUGCUUUAAUAACUGACAAUACAUUCAAGCAGGUUUUUCUAAUUCAAGUGUAUAGCACAUUUUCAAAUAAUAGGAAACAAAUCUCAUGCAAAGUAAAUAAGUCUUGACAAGAUGUCUAAAAACUGAUUAGAACUAGAAAAGAAGUGGACAUGUCUUAUUACCUUUGCAUUAGGUACAAACUAAAGCUGAUUAUCAGGGGCUCUUAUUCACUUGGCGGUCCUGACAUGAGCACUAUAAGUGAAUACUAUGAGUUCUACAAACAGAACAUUUUUCCACAUGAAUUUGAUUUGCAAAAAGUGCAAAAGUGGUAGAGCAAGAAUUACUAAGUAGGGGAUCAGUUUGGCAGGGGGUCAUGGAAUUUUGUAUAUUACUUGCUUUGUUCUGCUGAGCUGGUAUUUCAUAUGAUUUGCAGAUGAAUGACCAUGGAAAGAUGACGGAUGGUACUAGUCAAGGAUGUGGUUUUUCAUAGUAGUUACUGUUUCUGGGACUGAAUGAUGUUUUUGUCUUGGUCACAUGCAAAAUCUCACCCAAAUCUAAUGUGACAGAGAAUUUACCCAGUGUAACCCUUAAGCAAAAAUGUAUAAUGGUCUGCAUGUGAAACUCUCUCUCUACACAGGUAUUAGCAAAAGAAAAAUACAUGAACAGCUGCUAUUCAACUUUUGUACUCCUUUCCACUUGUUUAUAUUUUAACAGCCACUGAGAGAUCAGUGAUGCUGCAGUGACAAUGGUCAGCAUUAUUUCUUAGAGAAUACAAAUGUAUUAGCUUAGACAGUAAUUUCAGGUGUGUGAAACAGAAGCUAUUUCUGAAGGCCACAGGUUCAUAAACUUUUAAGAUUUGUAGGACGUAAACUUUAAGAACUGGGUAGUGAAGGCAUAAUUUUUGUUUUAUAACCAGUUACGCCUCUUCUAUAGAGUGCUCAAAGGUGAGUCAAACUUGUUAUCAUUCCUUGUUAGAUAGGCUGUUCCCAUUGGAUAAGAAAAACUGAUAAAUGUUUUUCUGAAAAUUUUUAUAGCGUUCUACAAAGCCAUCACCUUCUGCAGAAAAAAAGUUACUUAUGUUCCACCUCUCCAUCCCCUGCCAAAAACUUUGGCAGUCUUAUGGCUGUACCCUAAUCAAGGUCAGUGCAGAAAUCUCAACCAUUACAGAAGUCUCUUACUGUCUGGCUCUAAAAAUAUUCUAAUAGUUCUGUUUGCUGAUUCUAGAAGUAGGUGGAGCUAUAAAUAGUUUAAUAGAAUGAAUGGGACAUACUCCCAAUUAAGAAUUUGCAAAGGGUUUAAAGACUUAAGGAGGAAAGGAUACUUGCAGAAAUUGUUUUUUUUUAUUAUCUUGAUAUCAAUUUAUUUAAAAGCUUAAUAAUUCAAACUCUUGAGAGCUUUAAGGUUGACUGAUUGAUAGACUUAAAAAGUGAUUGCUGGGUAAUUCCGGUGGGCUGGAGAAAUACCUUGGACAGGAACAGGCAGCUAUGGAGGUUCUUUAAUUCAUGCCAGUGAUGGGCAGUCCAAUCUUGAUCAGGUAACUAUGGGCAUUUUUUUUUUUUUCUUCAUUUAAAAUAAUUUAUCCAGUUAGGAACCAGAAGACUUUCAUAUAGUUUCAUGUUUUCCUUAGUGGUAAAUUUCUUACUACUCCCUAACAGUUUUAAGGAAAAAGCCUAUGUGCUCUAAUUUGGACUGCCUUUUGGAGUAGAAUGUCAAGGCUCUGACUUAGAACUCUCUGAGAUCCCUUUAAUAUUUUGCUGCAAGCUUACAGAAGACUUAGUCCAUGCAUCUGAAAGGAGGAAUUAUGGAAUUAUGUUUAACUGGUACUUAAUUUUUUAAAUUAACAUUUCAGUUUCAGGCAGCGUGGAUAUCAACUUCAGAAAGCUGACAAGCCAGCAGAUGAGAGUGAUGCAAGUUUCAAAAAGGAAUCUUACUGCUCCUCAGUCCAUGACAGGUUUUGUAGCUGGUAAGCUCACACACUGAUGGCACUCUAUGAACAGAAGUCUCUUUUGCUUGUGAUUUGUGCAGUUGGUUUUGUUUGCCUCAGUUCCACAGUGGGAAAUAUGCUACUAGAGACCUGUGAAA